UUCAUCCACCUUCAAUCGUCGAAUUACUUUAGCCUUAUGCAAACAUGUUUUAUGAGUUAGUGUUAGGUUUAUGUUUGUUCUGGAAAUGAAACGGCAUACAGAAGUACCUUUACAAUGGAAACCACUAGCUAGCUCUGCCCACCAUGUUUUCAAUGACUGAAGCUAGGUGCUAGCUAGAGUUUGCCUUUGUAAAUCAGCUAUGUUGUCAGCCUGAGGAAGAUUUACAACGUGCAUUUAACAUGGACUUCCUCUGGAUGGUGGCAGAUUGACAACUUCACAUCAGUGAACAUGAAUCUCAUAACUGAUUGGAAAAAUAAAUAAAGUUUUGCACACAA